CCUUUCUUCAUCUGCAAAUGACAACAUGGGUUUUCUGUUGAUUAUGAGAAUUUAGCUUUUUAAGGUAUCUACUAACUUCAGUUCUUAUAUUUGGCUUCUCACAUGAUGCUUAAUAUCAAAUACUCUACAUCCAUUAUUACCCAAAGAUUGGAAUCAGUGGAUAUUUCUGGAAAACCUAAUGCUGUUGUUCUAUGUGCUGUGAAAGGCCCAAGACCAAGAUAUCCACAAGUAUGGAAAACUAAGAAGAGAAUAGGCACUAUCUCCAAGUCGCAAAAGCUUGUUGAAUGUGUGAG